rnacentral:rRNA from 1 species
CCUACGGGGGGCAGCAGUGGGGAAUAUUGGACAAUGGGGGCAACCCUGAUCCAGCCAUGCCGCGUGUGUGAAGAAGGCCCUCGGGUUGUAAAGCACUUUCAGUGAGGAAGAACGCCUGGUGGUUAAUACCCAUCAGGAAAGACAUCACUCACAGAAGAAGCACCGGCUAACUCCGUGCCAGCAGCCGCGGUAAUACGGAGGGUGCGAGCGUUAAUCGGAAUUACUGGGCGUAAAGCGCGCGUAGGUGGCUUGAUAAGCCGGUUGUGAAAGCCCCGGGCUCAACCUGGGAACGGCAUCCGGAACUGUCAAGCUAGAGUGCAGGAGAGGAAGGUAGAAUUCCCGGUGUAGCGGUGAAAUGCGUAGAGAUCGGGAGGAAUACCAGUGGCGAAGGCGGCCUUCUGGACUGAAACUGACACUGAGGUGCGAAAGCGUGGGUAGCAAACAGGAUUAGAUACCCUGGUAGUC